UUUUUUCCAUCAGACAGCAGAGCACUGGUAAACACCACGCAGAAAAGCCGUAUUGUGGGGUUACAAAGUCUAGGCUGUUUAAGGAGCUCUGUCAUUCCUUUUAAUGGAGCUCACUGACGCAGAUCUGGCUUCUGCCAGCCGAGGAAAUGUUGCUGCUGAGAAAAGGGUUAUUGAAACCCACAAACUAAAUAUUAUAAGCAAGAAUCAAACGGCGGGACAUUCUGGUGUGUAAUCCCUCCUGAUUGCAGGCGGAGGGAGGGGGGACAUGUUGAUAAGUGGCUGUGGGUGACAGAGGCCCCCGGCCUGGUGGGUGAAACGGGCUGGGGAAGGCAGCGUCUGCGGGGAGCACUGCCAGCACGGCCUCUCCGGAGGCUCACACCUGGACAGGUUGACUCUUGCAUGGAAGCAAGAAUCCCCUUUUUCUCUGGACGGAUUUGUAGUAACUUGCAAGAUAGACUUAAGGAGCCAGGACUGGAAUGCUAAGAAUUUUCUCUUUCAGAAAAAAAAAAGGGGGGGGGGGAGAGAAUUAAAAAGGCAACACUUCCCAGUUUUAAAACAAUGAUACAAUUACUAAAGAGGUUGGAAAACUCUAAAUCAACCCUCAGCCUACAGCUGUUUCCAAAGUGUUUGCUCUGACCUUUGGUAAUAGUGUCAAUUUUGCUGCAGAAAAUAUAUUGUGGACUAUAUAAUGUAUUUAAUUGCAAGAUGGCUUUUAAAUGGUCUCCUUUCCCCAGGCUAGCGAAAUGGCUGUGACCAGGGAAACGAGGCUGGACUGAAGCUUUGUUGUCCUGCCACGUUUUGUGAGGUUGCAACCGAGAUGAACGUUUUUAAAACACUCUUGCCCGAAGUGGCACCUUUAACCACAAGGGAAAACAAACAAACAAACAGCAGUGAAGGGAAGGGGAAAUGGCUCCCUAAACUACACCAAAGAGGAUGAGGUCUGAUCUCACAUGGAGCGGGAGGCCUCUGAGCUCCAGAGAGGCUGCUCACUACUUUAUAUUUAUCCUCAGGCUUCAUCAUUGGGACACUUCAGUCUCACCGAUGCUUUCUGCUAACAUCAGAAAAAGGGGGCUUAAUCAUCCAGCAAUGACUCCACUACAGUUAGAGAUUUCCCCCCCCAACACUACCAAAAAAAAAAAAAAGCUUUGAUUAUUGAGCAACAUGUAAAGCGUUAUUUCCAUACUAGUCUGGGUGACAUUUCCAUUUAGUUUCUAUAACUGUGAUUAAAGGCGAGAGAGGUUUCUAAACAUAUCUAGAGAUGCUGAGCCUCCUGGAGUAUAAAUAGCAUGCAUUUCAUAAUCUCGUGUUUAAACGUUUAUUUUAAAAUAACCCCCAUAUACAUUCCAGAGAAGUCUCCCUGCUAUAGGGCAUAGAUUGACCCUGGCUUUGCACAUAUUGUUUGCAAACUGGGGAAAUACUAUUGGGUAUUUGAAGCCGCCUUUAUUUUUCCUGUCUUGUUAAAAAAGAAAAAAGGGGGGGAAGUGUGGGGAGUCCUGUGCCAGUGCACCACUUGGAGAUAAGGAAAUUCUUGAGACACGUCUAGGCUCUCAGUGCAGAUCCAGAAGCAUAAAGGCAUAGUAUCUUAAUUGCCUUUGCUUGGACUUUAACUCGUGGCUGACGUCUCUAAUUACAUCCCUUACUCCUUCCUGCCAGUUGUAGCUUCUGCAACUGCUGAAAUUCUUAAGUUGUGUAGAAAUUGUCAAGCCGUGCUUUCCCCCCACCACUACUGGUGCAUUAGCAACGUCACUCGAUGUGUGAAUUGUAUGUUUCGACUGUACGCUCACCAGUGGGCUUGUCUUUGGGCCACUGGAGAAGUUAAAUUGUGUGUGUUAAGCAUAAGUCUUGUUUGAAAUAACAUCGAGGCUGAAGAGUGGAAAACACAUGGUAAACAUAAGCAAAAUAGAGACUGGACGGGAGUAGAUGGAAAGGUAAGGCAGAGCCUAGCUGCAUUUUUUUUUGUUCUCAGUCCAACUGGAUGUCUAGGUUGCAGGGAUUGCUGAGAAGCAGAGUGGCAGGGUUAAACGUGAGGGUUUGCCAAGGUAACAAGAAUACCAAAGUUUGAUAAAAACUCAUUCUGAGCUGCUUACAGCAAUCUCUGUGAACAUGGCCUCUUAAUUAGCGUGAGCAAAGGUUAAUACAAAUAAAUAACGUGGAAGAAAGAUUCCUGUUUGCUUCCAACAAGCAUCACAAAGGACAGGGAUAGGGAGGGGUUGGGGGAGACUGGAGAUUUUGUUUAUCAGUCCAUUAGAAAAACAAACAAUUAAUGGAGCUUCCCCUGUUCUCUUUUCUUUGGCAUGUCCUCGGUUUUCAGCUGCUUUGGGCAAGUCAGGCAACAUCAAAGGGGAUGCAGGGCUGCCUCACACCAGCAUGCCAAACGCCAGGGAUCUCUAAUGGCAAAAACCAGAUCAAUGUGGUAUGCAUAAAUUAGCCAGGAAUCCAUGAAUUAGGGGAUUGUCUCUCCAUUACACUCUUAUUUAAUCCACUGGAAAGCAGGCUGAGGAAAGAGAAGCUUAAAGUGUCAAAAUCAUGAACUGGUUUGGGAUGGCCUGGGAAUGAAGUUUCCUUCAUCUUCCUCUGGACUCUCAAGUGUUCCUACGUGAGGAAGGUGCUGGGGCAGGUUCACUGGGAGCAGGAUUGCAGAGGAAGAGCCUUGCUGGCAAAGCAGCCCCAAAGCUGGAGGUGCCUCAGCCCCUCCCUGGGGCCGCUGCUGUGCUCAGCCCCAGCUGAAGAUCGCGCCUUCCAGCCUAGGACAGAAAAGGUGCCAGGGAGGGGGCAGGAGGAGAACAAGCUGAACAAAACCAGCUAGGGCACAGCACGCGUGCGUCUCCAAACAGCGUCUGAUCUGUGUGCGUUAACGUGAAGUCAGUGCUGGAGAGCCAGCCCUGCAGAUCCUGUUUCGCUUUCUAAUUUUUGGUGUGUACUUAAUCCCGUGAUUUCCAAUGAAGGGAGGGAUAUUUUCAAACACUGGGCUCUCCAAGUAGGACAGCCCUGGAAAGGAAGUUCUCCGAGGGCUCGAUGCCUAUUACUAAGAGGUUCAAAAUACAACUAUCAAUUAACCAAAUAAAUAGUGCUUCCCAGCCCCUACCAGCUCAGGCAGCUAAUUGACUGAGUUUAUUAAUAAAGGAGAAAUUCACACGCAAGAAGAAGGUGAGAACUGGGGACAGAGGUACAGAAACCUGGGUAAAAUCCACACUGGUGUUACAGACGUCCUGGGAGAAAGGGACGGUGUCCCCAAACCGAUUCUGUGGGGCCAGAGGUUUACUGCUGCUGCACCCCAGCCUCCCAGGAGCACAGGGUGCUGCGAUGCACAGGGCAGUGCGCUGCUUUCUAACUUUUUACCCCUUCCCCAUUUGCAGGCAUGGAAUGAAGCUCCCUCCAGUCACCUGCCGCAAGACACAUUGUCCAGCUUCCUAACCUUAAGGAUGAGACCCUAUCAAUAUUGCCUCUGCUUUUGUGCUCAGGGUAGUAGUGCAAUAUUGCUUAUAGGGUCUUUUCUUUUGGGGGUAUUCUUCACGGAGAGAAGACAGCCACAGCAGGAAAAACUAAUCCUAUGUGCCCAUCGAGUUAAGGGGAAAGUUGUGAAAUAUCGAGCCUUGUUAGAUAGGCAAGUAAUGGUGCGGAGACGUUACUUGUGACAAAUAAUUGUGCUAUUGUGGUGACUCAGGUCCUGAGUAAUGGGUGUAUUUUCGAUGCUAUCGCACAGGAUUCAAAAUGGCCUUGUGUUUAAAAAGCUCACACGGUGACUGAAACUGGAGAAACCCAUCGUGUCUCCAUUUUAAAUAGCACGAGUCCCGAGAGGUUUGAAGGGUGCCUAUUUUACAUCACGCUGUAAACACCCACCGAGGGAUGGGAGGAGAUACAUAGCCACACUUGCUGUUUCCGCGCCUGAUCCCAGCCCGAAAACCAGCGCUGUGCGAAGCAGGGCGCCGCACAAAGGGGCCGGGGCUCUGUUCCCGCUGACCUCCCCGCGGCAAAGCUCUCGCCUCUGCCCGGCGAGCGUGGCCGGGCCCGCGGCUCGCAGCGGGGUCGGGCGGUGGAGCGGGGCUGGGCACGGCCCCCGGCCCUUCCCCAGAGCCGUUCCCGGAGGUACGUGGGAAAGGAGCAAGGGACGGGGGCGUUAAAUCUCUCCGCUUUGUGAGGGAUCAGCUGGGGGCUGACAGCAGCCGGGAUGGCCGAGUGGGUGGCCCUGCCUUCCAUUUCAGGUGGUCCCCGCGGUCCCUUUCGGGACCUCUGGGGCCCAGGGAAAGGGGUGGUGGGAGGGGACUUUGGGGCCAGAGCGGGGCUCGGCGGAGCAGCCGCUGCCUCUGCGGGGCUUCACAAGCCGCUCCCAGGGCGGUGUGGGGCUGCUACAGCACAGCCAGGCUCGGGGUGCUGCCGGGGCUGCACUCGCUGCUUGGGGCUUCCCCCCCUCAAACACCCACCCAGCAUCGCUGCGGGGGGAGGCAGCCAGCUCGGGGACAAAGCCAGGAAAUUCCUCCCCCCCCCCUCCACCCCUAAACCCAGGCUCUCCCUCUGUGCCCCCAGCCCAGCAGCAGGGCCAGCGCUGGGACCACCGGGCGGGCUGCCCCUCUUUCCCUGUUGCACUACUGUCACGGUCGCAGCGAGCAGUGCAAUAAUGAAAGGGCGUCAGUGCGCCGGGGAGCGGCGAGAGCCGGGGCCGAGCUGGUGACAGCGAGCAGGGCCGGGCCCCCCACCCAAGAGCUGUCUGACAGGGGGCCGGGGGGAGCCGGGAUCAAGACCCAUGGCCAGGGGGAGCUGGGCACAGGGGCAGGGCGAGGUGAGUGGCCCCGCACAAAUAAAGUGACUUCCCAUGUCCCUGUCGCUGCCUUUUCUUCCUCGGGGGGGUUUCUUGCAGGUCACCAGCCUCCCCAGCAGUGGCGCACAGAUGCAGAGCCCCCGCAACGUGGUUUUGUGGGGCCGGCCAGGCCUGUGCUUUGUGGGGAGAGGCCGAAGGCACUAAUAGGACCGGGGGUCUUCCUGCCCUGUGGAGCCCGAGAAGCAGGCGGGAGGCAUGCCCUGGUGCUGGGCUCAGCGGUGGGGUGGGAGGGAAGGGGCUGCAGUAAGGGAGAGCAGAUCGGUGCUCUGCAGCUGGGAAGGCCAGGAAAUAGCCCCGCGAUUAUUAGUGGCCAUGGCGAAAUGGAUCCUUCUAUAAAAGAGGGCCGGGGAGGGUUAUUUCCUUUAGCAAAGGACCUUUCCACUCUGGCCUUUUGAACCCGUGCUUCUCCCUGGCACUGUUUCUGCUUCAUCAUGACUUUUUGCAGAGGAAGGUGAGUGCAGAAAGCGGACCGGCUCGAGGCGAGGGCUGCAAUCUAAUCCUGAUGAAAAGGCUUUUACAGCCUAUGCUUCAUUUCCUAUUUCUUUUGGAUUCUCUCUUCCGCCUCUCACGUGCACAAGCAGAUAGAAAAGCCGAAUCCUUCCCUGCAGUCUCUCUCCCGGGGAAGAGUCAGCCCCCUCCCCAGCUUCACCUUCAGGCUGUGCACACACAAAAUGGCUGCAGCAGCCUGUGGGUGGGCAUGGAGAGCUCAGGAAGCCGCUUUUCUUUUUCCCACCCUGCCUGCCCAGGAAGCCCUUCUGCUUUUAUUUUCUGUGGCAUUUCGCUCUCGCAUAGCUCUGUGCAAAUCCAAGGGGGUCUCCUAUGUGUAAGCUAUGCAUGGAAUGGGAGCUGGGGAGGGAAACGGCCAGUUUGCAUGAGAAGGGGACCUGUCGGGCCCCAGUGUUUAUUUUUUUGCUGACCUUCUGGGGAUAUGGUCAGUGAGAGCUGUGACAGCUGCUGGAAGCGGCAGGGGCUUUGAAGAUUGUGAAGGUUGUGACCUCGAGGCCCCUUUCCUCUCUCUGUCCCAGGAGCUGCUGAGUCAAUCAGGGAAAAGGGGAGGUGAAACGGGGGCUGCUCUUUAGCCAUUUUUCAAUCGGUGAAUGAAACAGGAAAGGACAAAUGCAAGAAGAAAAAAGAGCGAUUACUUCCACUUUGGUGCAUUACUGAGAAGGGGGGAUAUCUCUUUGGCAAAAGAUUAUAACAAUAAUGGGAAACCACUGUGCUCCUGAGAUCCAGCACCUUGAAUAAAGGGGUUGACUGGGCAAGGAGCUGAUGGCAGAUCAAUAACGCUAAAUUAGGGGGAAAGCCUACAAACUCCUCAUGGUUCAAAGCAGGAGGAAAUCCACCUCUCAUUUCCACCUGAUACCAGCUCUAGAUGUAGGGGGGGAACCCGGGUACCACUAUCCUCCACCCCCUCCUGGACUUCACAGGACCACGGCUUCACCUUCGCUGAGCUCAGCUGAACGCUGUGGCUGUUGUAGGAGCCACUGAGGAGGGCUGCACCGCACACGCCAAAAUAAAGGGACAAAGUACAUUGUGCUGCAUCCCUGGGGUGUGCAUGCUUUCUAAGAGCAUGGGCUUGCUUAGAAAUCCACGCUCCGGGCAGCCCACGAGAGGGCUCUCAGCCCCCGAGUCCUCUCUAAGCCCAGAAAGUGGGGUUUAAGUCUUUUUCUCUUUCUGGAUAAUAUGAUCCUAUGGAUCUAUCCUUUAAAAUAGUAAUCAGAACAGCAAACACAGCGCCUGGCUUCGGUUGACCAAUACACAACAGAGGCAAAGAAGGCAAACAGCAGGCUUUUCAGUUAGUUUACACAGGGGGCACUUAAAUACUGUAUUGGUUACAUAAUACCAUUUGGGGGUUGGGGUUUUACACAUUCUUCUACUAAAUAUAUCUGUGAGAUUUGUUUUAAAGUGAUCAACAUAAAUCCAGCCACAGCUUUAAGGGGGAAAAUUCCUGUGAUUAGACUUAAUACCACUAGGUAGCUCACAGUGUAUUUACUGAAAACCAACACACAAUAGAUUUCCCCCCCCCCCCAGCCUCGCACUUUGCUGCAGUGGAGGGUGUUGCUCUCCUCUAGAAGGGCUGCCAUAGACAGCCACUUCCCCGCAGGAAGCACAGGCUGCUGGUUUUAGGGCCAUAUCCUGCUACUGUUCCACAUCCAGCCCUCAGGAUUCAUCCCAGCGCGGGCUGAAGGCAGGAUAUGGUCUGGCAAUCUUGACAAACUAAGUGCUAAGCGAGAGGGCGAGGCAUAUAAAAAAUAAAUAAAUAUCUGGGAGCCUUCUUGGCUGCGAUUGAUUAUAAAAGCACAAUUCACUGUGAACUCCUCCUGAGAAUCCCAUUCACAUGGGACACCUGAAGGUAUUUUCUCUUCCUGAUGAGCCUUCCAGUAGGCAUCCUGUUCCCAUCCAAAGGGAGUAGCAGGUGGCCAAACUGCCCCACUGGAGGCUUGACAAUGGCAUUAGCUGAAGCCUGGCUCAAUCUGUACACAACUCCUCAGGCUCCAGCUAAGCCCUUCCUGGGAACAGCAAGCGUCCCCGGGCAAGGCCCGGAUCUAGCAGCCCCGUGUCCUUGCGAGGCACCCUCUGCUCAGAAGUGAACAGAUGGGAAGAAGCGUCUCAAAGCAGCACAGCUUUAAAACCGUGCUCUUCUCUUCAGCGUGUUGUCACCAGCACCUCCGCGGGCAGAGAUCUCUGCCAUAAGGAGCGAGCAGAACGGCGGGUGGGUGGCUAAUUGAGAAGGGGAGUUCCUCGGGGGCAAACCCGAAGUCUUUGCGGGUGCACAGAACAAGGUACACUGCCUGCACUCAGCACCAAACUCCAGCUCAGUACAAAUCCUGCUUGCUGGCUCACCUGGGAUGUGGGUGCGCCUGGUCCUGUAAACCUCCUCAGGCACACAGUGACCGGGUGGUGGCAAUAAGCUGCUGUGCACGGUAUAAACUCAAACCUAACAGUCUGCAGGGGUGUAAUAAGGCAGUUACCUUAAAAGUCACCCUGCUACUACUACACCAAAUGGCAGACCUCUACCUCCCUCAAAAACUGAUCUGCUGAGAAGCACCACCUUUGCCAGGAGCUGCUACUUUACCAGCAGUUUAUCCAGUUACAACCAGUAGGGAGUGACACUGGGUACAAAGGCACACUGCGCUAGAAGACAAACUCUGCUUUGUCCCUCUGUGAAUCCCCAUCACAUUUCAGGAUAAGUUUGGGUUGACAACAGCUGGUUUUACACAACCCACCAGCAAUUCUGUUGCUUAAUUUUCCCUUUACAGCAGUUACACCUUUAACAUGAUCUAAAUAAUUUAAAGAGGGAGGAAGAAAAAAAAAAAAAAAAAAGGAAAGAAACAAAAGGCAGACUCUGCCCUGAGAAAAGCAGAAAAUGAAAGACUUCCAGACCUGAAGGAAAUGGGGAUCUCUCAACAGCCCUGGAGAAGCAGGGGAGGCCACCUCAUCUGUAAGCUAAGAGACACCGAGCACCAGUAAAGGAUUCCUCACUGCCAGCCCCCCACACCCUGACACCAAGCAAUUCAUUUAGGGCAUUUAUAGCAGCGUUUGGAGCAAGUCAGAGGGCAGUUUUGGCGUUCCCCUGUUGAAUCUCUGGUCAAAUUCUCUGAUCAAAAUCAACUUCUCCUUCCCCUCUUCACACACAGACAUCCACCCCACUAAACUACAGAAAGGUGAACGCUUGAAAAAAAAAGAAAAAAACAACAACAAAAAAAAACAAACCGAACCAACACAAAAAAGAACCCCCCCCCAAAACCACUACAGACACACCAGCAGCAGGAGAGCUUUUAAAUCGGGACGCGAGGCAGGUAGGGGUGGAAACCGGGUUAAUCCCGAACCGGGGCUCCCGCACCGCUUUCUGUUAUCCUGUACGAGGCAGCACCGGAGCCCCGUGCAGGUGGGGCGCAGCCAAACCCCGCAGCAUCCCCGCCGGCUGCCGCGGAGCCCCGCAGACCGCGGGGGGAGCGCAGAAAAGGGGCUCCUGUGGCUCUCGAAAGGAGCCCGCUGCCAGCCGGCCCCGGCGCUGGGUUCCUGCGGUGUUGCCCUAAGGGAAGGCGGCCAAGGCCGGGGACGGGGCGGUGCGGGGGGAGCUCCGGCCAAAGCCCCUCCUUGAGCGGUUUUGGUUCACCCGGGGGCACGCAAUAAAACGGGUGUAGGGAAGAGAGACCGCUCGCCAGGCGGUGCUGAGGCUAGGCACUGCCAGGCUUCCAGGCAUCCCUGCCCCAAACAUCCCCGAAACCCUCGCACAUCCCUCCCUGCCCCUACGCUCCUGAACGCUAAACCCAGCGGGGCGUAUCUGUUGGACCACCAGAGAGCAGAAAAUCCGUUCUAGCGUCAAGGUGCCUUUCUGGCAAGAGUGGGCAACUUUCCUAGGGAGAAGGGCACUAGAAAGCAGCCCAGAAGGAGCGCAGUCGAUUCUCAUCAUUAAUUUUCCUCCCCAAACGCCCUUUAACGCAGCGCCCCGCUCAGCACCAGCCCCCCCAGCGCGGCCGGGCAGCAUCCCGGCCCGCAGCCGUCGGAAGCGCCGCGGCCGGGGCUCGGCGGCGGGGGCUCAGCCAGGGGGGGUAGGGAAGGGCUGGGGACACGGAGCUCCCCCCGCCCGGCCCCCUCCAGGUCCCUGCUGAGCCCCACCGGGCUCAGAAAGCCUCUCUCCCCGGGGUACGUUAGGAACACUUGUUCUCCACCCCUAAAAGCCGCACGGGGAAGCUUCACGCCUCGGGGAGGGUCGGGUUUUCCUCCUUUUUCCCCCUUGCCCAGAAGCCCUGCAGGGGCUGCUGCCCGGUGAAGGCAGCUCCCCAAGGGCCGACCCGAGGCGCUUUCCCCCCCCAGGGGCUCGCAGCCCGGUGCCGGGGCACUGCUGGGACCUUUAAGCAAGGUCUCAGCUAACCGCAGCGAACAGCCUCCCGUCUCACAGGGAAACCCGCGGCCCCGCAGGAUGCAGGUAGAUUUUAACAUUUUACCCCAGAGACUGGAUUUGAAGCUCGACUGGGAGACCCCCUCCCCGCCCUGCUUCUUUUGUACGCGGUGCACCACAAACGGGCGUUUUGCUGCUCAGCUUUAGGGAAAAUUGCCCCCGGCUCGCCAGGAAUCGCCUCCGCACCCGCACCCAGGGAGGGCAGAGUUAAUGCACGCAGCAGGAUGAUUUCUGCAAGAGAGACAGCAGAUGGUGCUCCCUCGGGAGCAAUUUCGGGAGGAGCCUCGCUUUCUGCGCUUCCCAGUUUCUGCUCGAGCCGCGCAGGUUUGACGCUGCAGCAGCCUUUUGGCGACAGUCACCCGGCAGCCGUGUACAAAAAGCUGCUGGCACAAACCAAGAAUCCGUCCUCCUUGAGCAGGAGGGGAAGAUACAAGCGGAGCAGGUCGGCUGUUACACGAGUGCCUCGCCACUUGGCACCCCGCACCCCGGGAAUCCUCCGCAUCUAACCCAGUAACCGCGCCAGCCCAGUUUGGAACAAGCUGGGAACUGCUGGAAGCUCGCUACGGGGCGCUCCCCCGCAGUGCCAGCAGCCGGACAGGGCUGGAAACCCUCUCUGAAGCCCUCCAGCAGCAGCGGAACCCUUCAGGUGCGAGGACGGAGCAGUCACCUGGAUUCUGGUGUCGAGAACAAACCCUGAAGUGUAUAAAGGAUCCUACGGGUCUCCAUGGGGUGCCUACAGACCCAGGAACCAGUGGAAGGUAUUGGAGGAAAGUAACAACAUCAAAUACCGAUGAUUAAGCAUCACUGGAACAGGGGUUGGUCAUUUUUUUCCCCUUCUUUCAACUUUUUUUUUUUUUUUAAAUGAUUUAACUUAAUAAGAACAGAUAUACCCACUUAGCAUUCCCAAACGUAAUGGAAUAAAAAUGCUGGUUUAUCUUUAGCUUUGUCAUUCAGAAUUAAAGAUCAUCCCACAGUAAGUCUCUUCUGGCAAUUUAAAGCAGUGAAAGCAGUAACAGACCUCAUCUAUACUGACAAAGAAGGCAAAGUAUGUGGCAAGUGUCUGUAUGCUGAGCAGUUAGACAAACCUUUAAAAAAAAA